GAUGAACGCUGGCGGCGUGCCUAAUACAUGCAAGUCGAACGCUGAAGGAGGAGCUUGCUCUUCUGGAUGAGUUGCGAACGGGUGAGUAACGCGUAGGUAACCUGCCUGGUAGCGGGGGAUAACUAUUGGAAACGAUAGCUAAUACCGCAUGACAACAGUUAUUGCAUGAUAACUGUUUAAAAGGGGCAACUGCUCCACUACCAGAUGGACCUGCGUUGUAUUAGCUAGUUGGUGAUGUAACGGCUCACCAAGGCGACGAUACAUAGCCGGCCUGAGAGGGGGAACGGCCACACUGGGACUGGGACACGGCCCAGGAUCCUACGGGAAGGAGCAGUAGGGAAUCUUCGGCAAAGGACGGAAGUCUGACCGAGGAACGCCGCGGGGGUGAAGAAGGGUUUCGGAUCGGAAAGCUCCGUUGUAAGAGAAGAACGAGUGUGAGAGUGGAAAGUUCACACUGUGACGGUAUCUUAACAGAAAGGGACGGCUAACUACGUG
rnacentral:rRNA from 1 species